AAGCAAAGGAGGUAAAGGCAAAUUCAGCCUUCCCCUUGAAAUCUCCUUUGAUGAUUGGAGCCGUGGGGUAAAGCACUUCUGUAAUGUUGUACAUUCGGAGUAUACUGACCCCAUCAAGAAACAGCUUGAAAGGAAUAUUGACUUCACACAAUGGAGCGACGCUUUGGAGGCAGAAAAAGAUAACAUGGCCGAACCUGCCCUCACCUUCAUCCUUCUCUUCCUCAUUACUCUGCUUUUCACCAUUGCAACCACUGCUUUCAAGGUUAAAUGAGGUGAACUUUCUGUAGAAUGUAUUUUUCACAGUGUUUUUGCAUACAUUCAGAGUAUCAUGUAAGUAACCGUCUUUGUCCUUUAUUUUAUUACAAAAAACCAUGUCAUUAUGAUGUUUUUAAAAUAUUAACCAUUGACAUUGAAACUGCAAUAUUUUUCUCUUUUUCAAACUGUACUAUCUAUCAUUUCCACCACGAACAUUUUUGUCACAUAAUAAUCCUAUUUGUACAAUGUCUUGUUUUGAGCAAUCUGCAUUUGUGUGAUUUGUUUUUUCAAGUAAUAAAUUGCAUUUCUGUUAAUGACUUUUCCAGAAUCUUUUAAUGAACAACCCAUGAGAGAUUCAAUCCAUGAAUGCGAACAUCUUACAGUUGCUUAUGUUCUUGAAUCUAUUAUUAAACCUUUAGCAAAGUUUGAAACCUAUUUAAUCAUGCAUGUAAAAUGAUAUGAGAUAUUUAAAUGUUAGUUCUGUUUCUUUUACUGGCAUAACCACACCUCACACCUGGUCUCUGUGAUGCACGGUUGCUCUUGUCUUUGUUUCACUUCUGUAAUUUGGUGCUUUUUUGAGAGCUGGGUGUUACUCAAUGCUUCCGCCUGCUGCUUACCCUGACCCCUCUGCCCUGUCAUACCGCCACAUCUGUGCAACAGACUCCCAGCCUUAUCUCCAAAUAACUUUUAAGAUACAAUUUAAAGGUACAACUCUGCCAUCUAGCCUGAAAAAAAGAUAUUACACUUAGUAUUGAGACAAACCUGAUUAUCUGGAGGUAUGUAUCAAUGGUUAUAUGAAAUCAGCUCAUAUUGUUUUUUUAUGCUAACAUGUAAUAGAAGGAAGCAAGUCAUAAAAUAUUAUCUUCUGUACUACAGAACCGCUGGUUGUAUCUCCAAACAUCACAUUACAACCUGUCUGGGAAGGUGAAUUCAAAGCCUUAGGGGUCAGACUCAUCUGCACCUUGAGUGGAUUCUUUCCAGAUAAACUGAGUGUGGAGUGGAAGCUGGACAACAACCCUCUAGUGAUUAAUCCAAUCGAAAGGAAGCUGCAGACCGUGGAGGGAGUGAAAAAAACAUUUAGUUUUAGCAGUGAGAUUGAGCCAAACAGCAAGGAGUGGGCAAAAGGCUCAAGCUAUACAUGCAAGGCGAUUCACAACAACAUUGAAUUUACAAAGACAAUUAGUGUCUGUCAAAUCGUUCCAAGCACCACUCCUGCCAUGCAUUUACAAACCCCGAGCUUCAAGACGGUAAUGGAGGCAAAGUCAGACAUUGAGGCAACAUGUUCAGUCUGCACUAUUUUUGAUGCCACUGUGACAUGGAGGCUGGAUGAUGACUCUCCCUCCAAAGAACACAUCAACCAGGUCACUAAUGCAAGUCAUAUAAUAAGCACUCUGACAGUUUCAUCAAGCAGCUGGCAAAGACUGAAGAAUCUAAAAUGUAAGGCUGAACAUCACUGCUUCUCUUCUACUGAAGUUACAUUUGUUCCAGGGCCUGCAGUAAGACCUCCAUUGAUUCAGAUCAGAAGAUCUCUCCCACAUUUGCUGAAGGGAGACAGUGCUGUGCUGGAGUGUGACAUCACACAGUCCGACUCCAGGGAUCUAUCUGUCACCUUACAGACUAAUACGAAUGCUAUUAUUGGCAAACAGUUUGUUGAUCUUCCUCAAACCCCAGGACCACAUUCAAUCAGUAGAUUCUUCUCUGUGCCUCAAAAUCACUGGAAGAAAAACACAAGUUUCUACUGCAGAGUAAGCCAAGGUUUCUCUGGCAGUUCUACAUCAAACUCUACUGGCAUUAUCUUUGUGGAUCCAUCAGUGGAGCUCCUUCUGGUCCCAGGUGAAGAGUCUGGACAACAGAGACUGUCGUGCUCUGGAUGGGGCUUUGACCCUCAAAUCAAAUGGUCUUCUGAGUCCCAGCAAAAAUCUCCUUCGACCUAUGACAUCAGCAUGGGUGCAGGUGGACGUGUGGCAGUAACCAGUCAACUUCUUGUCCCUCAAAAAGAGUGGAAAACGGGGAAAAACUUCACCUGUGAAGUCUCUGACAGAAUUCUGAAGAAAGAUGUUCAACAGGAGAUCAGCCUCUGUUCAGUUACUCCCGCAUCAUCUCAAUCAGUUGGGGUCUAUAUUCAGGGACCACCACUCCAGGAGAAUCAGAACACGGGACAAGUGACUGUCACCUGCCUUUUGGUUGGCCCUCUUCUAAAAGAUAUUUCCAUCAACUGGAAAGUAGAUGGAAACACAUAUACCCAUCGUGCCCAUAUAGAGCCACCAGUGAGUCUCGGCAACGGUACAGAAACUUUGCGGAGCUUCCUUAACGUGUCAGCAGAGGACUGGAACUCUUAUAAAAACGUGUCAUGUGAGGGAAAGCAUCCAUGUUCCAAACAGAGCUACAAGGACCAUAUAAAGAAAUGCAAAGACACCAGUCCACCAACAGUGAAGAUUAUACAACCAAGUGCCUCUCAGGCUUCCACAUCACACUUCCUCACACUUACUUGCCUGGUGUCAGAAUUUUUCCCAUCCAACAUAAUAGUGUACUGGAAAAAAGAUGGCCAGAGACUCCCUUCAACUGGCUACACUAACAGUCCUGCAUGGAAGUACACCGGGAGCAGCACUUAUUCAAUGAGCAGCAGACUAAAUAUAACCAAAACUGUGCACGAGGAGUCCACAUAUUCUUGCGUUGUCAGACAUGAGUCAUCCGAAAUGCCCCUUGAAAGCAGUAUAAAGGAUGUGUUUGACGUAUUGGAGAGCUGUGAUUUUUUGGAUAAUAUUAUGUAUGCUGAAAGGAUCCAAGACAAAGAUGAGGAAGGCUGGUUUAUGGCUUUCACAUUUCUCGUUUUUUUCCUCAUCUCCAUCGUCUAUGGUGUCUUUGCAACCCUGUUUAAGACUAAAUGAUGGCGAUCACAGGAACAGAUCAACUUUCAAGAUCAAAAAGUGAAAUUCUGGAGAUUUUUGAUUGUAUCUGGUCUUGUUAAUCUUUAAAUGGGAUAAGAAAUGCUCCCAUCAUUAUGUUCCUUUCCACUGUUUUACAUCUUGUUACUUUUCUACAUGCCAAUUCUUUUGAGAUUAUGCUACCAAUGUCAUGAAAACAAAUCCUGUAUCAUUUGUGCAUUGAGAAAAUAAAUAUUCAUAAAUUGGAAACAAA